rnacentral:rRNA from 1 species
UACGAGGGGGGCGAGCGUUGUUCGGAAUUAUUGGGCGUAAAGGGCGCGUAGGCGGUGCGGUAAGUCACCUGUGAAACCUCUGGGCUCAACUCAGAGCCUGCAGGCGAAACUGCCGUGCUGGAGUGUGGGAGAGGUGCGUGGAAUUCCCGGUGUAGCGGUGAAAUGCGUAGAUAUCGGGAAGAAUACCUGUGGCGAAGGCGGCCAGCUGGGCCAGAUCCGACAGCUGAGGCGCGAAAGCGUGGG